AUUGAACGCUGGCGGCAGGCCUAACACAUGCAGGUCGAGCGGAUGAAGGGAGCUUGCUCCUGGAUUCAGCGGCGGACGGGUGAGUAAUGCCUAGGAAUCUGCCUGGUAGUGGGGGAUAACGUCCGGAAACGGGCGCUAAUACCGCAUACGUCCUGAGGGAGAAAGUGGGGGAUCUUCGGACCUCACGCUAUCAGAUGAGCCUAGGUCGGAUUAGCUAGUUGGUGGGGUAAAGGCCUACCAAGGCGACGAUCCGUAACUGGUCUGAGAGGAUGAUCAGUCACACUGGAACUGAGACACGGUCCAGACUCCUACGGGAGGCAGCAGUGGGGAAUAUUGGACAAUGGGCGAAAGCCUGAUCCAGCCAUGCCGCGUGUGUGAAGAAGGUCUUCGGAUUGUAAAGCACUUUAAGUUGUGAGGAAGGGCAGUAAGUUAAUACCUUGCUGUUUUGACGUUACCAACAGAAUAAGCACCGGCUAACUUCGUG
rnacentral:rRNA from 1 species